GGGUUGUGAGGUUAAGCGACUAAGCGUACACGGUGGAUGCCCUGGCAGUCAGAGGCGAUGAAGGACGUGCUAAUCUGCGAAAAGCGUCGGUAAGGUGAUAUGAACCGUUACAGCCGGCGAUGUCCGAAUGGGGAAACCCAGUGCAAUUCGUUGCACUAUCGUUAACUGAAUACAUAGGUUAACGAGGCGAACCGGGGGAACUGAAACAUCUAAGUACCCCGAGGAAAAGAAAUCAACCGAGAUUCCCCCAGUAGCGGCGAGCGAACGGGGAGCAGCCCAGAGUCUGAAUCAGCUUGUGUGUUAGUGGAACGGUCUGGAAAGUCCGACGGUACAGGGUGAUAGUCCCGUACACCAAAAUGCACAGGCUGUGAACUCGAAGAGUAGGGCGGGACACGUGGUAUCCUGUCUGAAUAUGGGGGGACCAUCCUCCAAGGCUAAAUACUCCUGACUGACCGAUAGUGAACCAGUACCGUGAGGGAAAGGCGAAAAGAACCCCGGCGAGGGGAGUGAAAAAGAACCUGAAACCGUGUACGUACAAGCAGUGGGAGCACCUUCGGGUGUGACUGCGUACCUUUUGUAUAAUGGGUCAGCGACUUAUAUUCUGUAGCAAGGUUAACCGUAUAGGGGAGCCGCAGGGAAACCGAGUCUUAACUGGGCGUUAAGUUGCAGGGUAUAGACCCGAAACCCGGUGAUCUAGCCAUGGGCAGGUUGAAGGUUGGGUAACACUAACUGGAGGACCGAACCGACUAAUGUUGAAAAAUUAGCGGAUGACUUGUGGCUGGGGGUGAAAGGCCAAUCAAACCGGGAGAUAGCUGGUUCUCCCCGAAAGCUAUUUAGGUAGCGCCUCGUGAACUCAUCUUCGGGGGUAGAGCACUGUUUCGGCUAGGGGGUCAUCCCGACUUACCAACCCGAUGCAAACUACGAAUACCGAAGAAUGUUAUCACGGGAGACACACGGCGGGUGCUAACGUCCGUCGUGAAGAGGGAAACAACCCAGACCGCCAGCUAAGGUCCCAAAGUCAUGGUUAAGUGGGAAACGAUGUGGGAAGGCACAGACAGCCAGGAUGUUGGCUUAGAAGCAGCCAUCAUUUAAAGAAAGCGUAAUAGCUCACUGGUCGAGUCGGCCUGCGCGGAAGAUGUAACGGGGCUAAACCAUGCACCGAAGCUGCGGCAGCGACACUAUGUGUUGUUGGGUAGGGGAGCGUUCUGUAAGCCUGCGAAGGUGUGCUGUGAGGCAUGCUGGAGGUAUCAGAAGUGCGAAUGCUGACAUAAGUAACGAUAAAGCGGGUGAAAAGCCCGCUCGCCGGAAGACCAAGGGUUCCUGUCCAACGUUAAUCGGGGCAGGGUGAGUCGACCCCUAAGGCGAGGCCGAAAGGCGUAGUCGAUGGGAAACAGGUUAAUAUUCCUGUACUUGGUGUUACUGCGAAGGGGGGACGGAGAAGGCUAUGUUAGCCGGGCGACGGUUGUCCCGGUUUAAGCAUGUAGGCUGAUUGUCCAGGCAAAUCCGGAUAAUCAAGGCUGAGGUGUGAUGACGAGGCACUACGGUGCUGAAGUAACAAAUGCCCUGCUUCCAGGAAAAGCCUCUAAGCAUCAGGUAACAUCAAAUCGUACCCCAAACCGACACAGGUGGUCAGGUAGAGAAUACCAAGGCGCUUGAGAGAACUCGGGUGAAGGAACUAGGCAAAAUGGUGCCGUAACUUCGGGAGAAGGCACGCUGGUGUGUAGGUGAAGUCCCUGCGGAUGGAGCUGAGACCAGUCGAAGAUACCAGCUGGCUGCAACUGUUUAUUAAAAACACAGCACUGUGCAAACACGAAAGUGGACGUAUACGGUGUGACGCCUGCCCGGUGCCGGAAGGUUAAUUGAUGGGGUUAUCCGUAAGGAGAAGCUCUUGAUCGAAGCCCCGGUAAACGGCGGCCGUAACUAUAACGGUCCUAAGGUAGCGAAAUUCCUUGUCGGGUAAGUUCCGACCUGCACGAAUGGCGUAAUGAUGGCCAGGCUGUCUCCACCCGAGACUCAGUGAAAUUGAACUCGCUGUGAAGAUGCAGUGUACCCGCGGCAAGACGGAAAGACCCCGUGAACCUUUACUAUAGCUUGACACUGAACAUUGAGCCUUGAUGUGUAGGAUAGGUGGGAGGCUUUGAAGCGUGGACGCCAGUCUGCGUGGAGCCAACCUUGAAAUACCACCCUUUAAUGUUUGAUGUUCUAACGUUGGCCCCUGACCGGGGUUGCGGACAGUGUCUGGUGGGUAGUUUGACUGGGGCGGUCUCCUCCCAAAGCGUAACGGAGGAGCACGAAGGUUAGCUAAUCCUGGUCGGACAUCAGGAGGUUAGUGCAAUGGCAUAAGCUAGCUUGACUGCGAGCGUGACGGCGCGAGCAGGUGCGAAAGCAGGUCAUAGUGAUCCGGUGGUUCUGAAUGGAAGGGCCAUCGCUCAACGGAUAAAAGGUACUCCGGGGAUAACAGGCUGAUACCGCCCAAGAGUUCAUAUCGACGGCGGUGUUUGGCACCUCGAUGUCGGCUCAUCACAUCCUGGGGCUGAAGUAGGUCCCAAGGGUAUGGCUGUUCGCCAUUUAAAGUGGUACGCGAGCUGGGUUUAGAACGUCGUGAGACAGUUCGGUCCCUAUCUGCCGUGGGCGCUGGAGAAUUGAGGGGGGCUGCUCCUAGUACGAGAGGACCGGAGUGGACGCAUCACUGGUGUUCGGGUUGUCAUGCCAAUGGCACUGCCCGGUAGCUAAAUGCGGAAGAGAUAAGUGCUGAAAGCAUCUAAGCACGAAACUUGCCCCGAGAUGAGUUCUCCCUGAGACUUUAAGUCUCCUGAAGGAACGUUAAAGACGAUGACGUUGAUAGGCCGGGUGUGUAAGCGCAGCGAUGCGUUGAGCUAACCGGUACUAAUGAACCGUGAGGCUUAACCUUACAACGCCGAAG
rnacentral:rRNA from 2 species